AAAUUGAAGAGUUUGAUCAUGGCUCAGAUUGAACGCUGGCGGCAGGCCUAACACAUGCAAGUCGAACGGUAACAGGAAGCAGCUUGCUGCUUUGCUGACGAGUGGCGGACGGGUGAGUAAUGUCUGGGAAACUGCCUGAUGGAGGGGGAUAACUACUGGAAACGGUGGCUAAUACCGCAUAACGUCGCAAGACCAAAGAGGGGGACCUUCGGGCCUCUUGCCAUCAGAUGUGCCCAGAUGGGAUUAGCUUGUUGGUGAGGUAACGGCUCACCAAGGCGACGAUCCCUAGCUGGUCUGAGAGGAUGACCAGCCACACUGGAACUGAGACACGGUCCAGACUCCUACGGGAGGCAGCAGUGGGGAAUAUUGCACAAUGGGCGCAAGCCUGAUGCAGCCAUGCCGCGUGUAUGAAGAAGGCCUUCGGGUUGUAAAGUACUUUCAGCGGGGAGGAAGGUGUUGUGGUUAAUAACCACAGCAAUUGACGUUACCCGCAGAAGAAGCACCGGCUAACUCCGUGCCAGCAGCCGCGGUAAUACGGAGGGUGCAAGCGUUAAUCGGAAUUACUGGGCGUAAAGCGCACGCAGGCGGUCUGUCAAGUCGGAUGUGAAAUCCCCGGGCUCAACCUGGGAACUGCAUUCGAAACUGGCAGGCUUGAGUCUUGUAGAGGGGGGUAGAAUUCCAGGUGUAGCGGUGAAAUGCGUAGAGAUCUGGAGGAAUACCGGUGGCGAAGGCGGCCCCCUGGACAAAGACUGACGCUCAGGUGCGAAAGCGUGGGGAGCAAACAGGAUUAGAUACCCUGGUAGUCCACGCCGUAAACGAUGUCUACUUGGAGGUUGUGCCCUUGAGGCGUGGCUUCCGGAGCUAACGCGUUAAGUAGACCGCCUGGGGAGUACGGCCGCAAGGUUAAAACUCAAAUGAAUUGACGGGGGCCCGCACAAGCGGUGGAGCAUGUGGUUUAAUUCGAUGCAACGCGAAGAACCUUACCUGGUCUUGACAUCCACAGAAGAAUCCAGAGAUGGAUUUGUGCCUUCGGGAACUGUGAGACAGGUGCUGCAUGGCUGUCGUCAGCUCGUGUUGUGAAAUGUUGGGUUAAGUCCCGCAACGAGCGCAACCCUUAUCCUUUGUUGCCAGCGAUUAGGUCGGGAACUCAAAGGAGACUGCCAGUGAUAAACUGGAGGAAGGUGGGGAUGACGUCAAGUCAUCAUGGCCCUUACGACCAGGGCUACACACGUGCUACAAUGGCGUAUACAAAGAGAAGCGACCUCGCGAGAGCAAGCGGACCUCAUAAAGUGCGUCGUAGUCCGGAUUGGAGUCUGCAACUCGACUCCAUGAAGUCGGAAUCGCUAGUAAUCGUGGAUCAGAAUGCCACGGUGAAUACGUUCCCGGGCCUUGUACACACCGCCCGUCACACCAUGGGAGUGGGUUGCAAAAGAAGUAGGUAGCUUAACCUUCGGGAGGGCGCUUACCACUUUGUGAUUCAUGACUGGGGUGAAGUCGUAACAAGGUAACCGUAGGGGAACCUGCGGUUGGAUCACCUCCUUA
rnacentral:rRNA from 1 species